CUUCACAUGCAAGUCGAGCGGACAGAUGGGAGCUUGCUCCCUGAUGUUAGCGGCGGACGGGUGAGUAACACGUGGGUAACCUGCCUGUAAGACUGGGAUAACUCCGGGAAACCGGGGCUAAUACCGGAUGCUUGUUUGAACCGCAUGGUUCAAACAUAAAAGGUGGCUUCGGCUACCACUUACAGAUGGACCCGCGGCGCAUUAGCUAGUUGGUGAGGUAAUGGCUCACCAAGGCGACGAUGCGUAGCCGACCUGAGAGGGUGAUCGGCCACACUGGGACUGAGACACGGCCCAGACUCCUACGGGAGGCAGCAGUAGGGAAUCUUCCGCAAUGGACGAAAGUCUGACGGAGCAACGCCGCGUGAGUGAUGAAGGUUUUCGGAUCGUAAAGCUCUGUUGUUAGGGAAGAACAAGUACCGUUCGAAUAGGGCGGUACCUUGACGGUACCUAACCAGAAAGCCACGGCUAACUACGUGCCAGCAGCCGCGGUAAUACGUAGGUGGCAAGCGUUGUCCGGAAUUAUUGGGCGUAAAGGGCUCGCAGGCGGUUUCUUAAGUCUGAUGUGAAAGCCCCCGGCUCAACCGGGGAGGGUCAUUGGAAACUGGGGAACUUGAGUGCAGAAGAGGAGAGUGGAAUUCCACGUGUAGCGGUGAAAUGCGUAGAGAUGUGGAGGAACACCAGUGGCGAAGGCGACUCUCUGGUCUGUAACUGACGCUGAGGAGCGAAAGCGUGGGGAGCGAACAGGAUUAGAUACCCUGGUAGUCCACGCCGUAAACGAUGAGUGCUAAGUGUUAGGGGGUUUCCGCCCCUUAGUGCUGCAGCUAACGCAUUAAGCACUCCGCCUGGGGAGUACGGUCGCAAGACUGAUACUCAAAGGAAUUGACGGGGGCCCGCACAAACGGUGGAGCAUGUGGUUUAAUUCGAAGCAACGCGAAGAACCUUACCAGGUCUUGACAUCCUCUGACAAUCCUAGAGAUAGGACGUCCCCUUCGCGGGCAGAGAGACAGGUGGAGCUGGAUGGCGUCACCUCCUGCCCACAGAUGUUGGUUAAGUUCACCAAACAACCGCAACCC
rnacentral:rRNA from 1 species